rnacentral:rRNA from 1 species
GCAUUAUACCGUGAAACUGCGAAUGGCUCAUUAAAUCAGUUAUCGUUUAUUUGAUAGUACCUUACUACUUGGAUAACCGUGGUAAUUCUAGAGCUAAUACAUGCUAAAAACCCCAACUUCGGGAGGGGUGUAUUUAUUAGAUAAAAAACCAAUGCCCCUCGGGGCUCCUUGGUGAUUCAUGAUAACUUCUCAGAUCGCAUAGCCUUGUGCUGGCGACGGUUCAUUCAAAUUUCUGCCCUAUCAACUUUCGAUGGUAAGGUAUUGGCUUACCAUGGUUUCAACGGGUAACGGGGAAU